rnacentral:rRNA from 1 species
UGGGGAAUAUUGCACAAUGGGCGCAAGCCUGAUGCAGCCAUGCCGCGUGUAUGAAGAAGGCCUUCGGGUUGUAAAGUACUUUCAGCGAGGAGGAAGGCGUUGUGGUUAAUAACCGCAGCGAUUGACGUUACUCGCAGAAGAAGCACCGGCUAACUCCGUGCCAGCAGCCGCGGUAAUACGGAGGGUGCAAGCGUUAAUCGGAAUUACUGGGCGUAAGCGCACGCAGGCGGUCUGUCAAGUCGGAUGUGAAAUCCCCGGGCUCAACCUGGGAACUGCAUCCGAAACUGGCAGGCUAGAGUCUUGUAGAGGGGGGUAGAAUUCCAGGUGUAGCGGUGAAAUGCGUAGAGAUCUGGAGGAAUACCGGUGGCGAAGGCGGCCCCCUGGACAAAGACUGACGCUCAGGUGCGAAAGCGUGGGGAGCAAACA